GAAAGAGGAAGUAACUUGUGGAAUGCUAAGAAAGCCUUGCUUUGGUAUCGGCACAUUUAAAGAAGUGGUUACCUCUUUCAGAAUUAAUGGAUUGGCUUCAGUUGGGAAAGCUGCGCUCACCUGUUGGUGAGCAUGAGGACAUCAACUGGAUGAAGUAUAUGGCUGAACCAAGUCUGAGGACAGGAGGGAAACAGACAACUGUUGCAUUCCUGUCCACAGAGCCUCUCCCUGAAGAAGACUCAAUUAUGCGGCCAGCAUCCUAACCCUGGGCUGUAGUCACUUUCGAUCUCAUGAUUUUUCAUCACUUUUACCCAUGCCUGGUGACUGAACCAUCUAGAAACAAGCUUUGGGCAUUUGCCAUUGUAUAGGAAACAUAGCCAUAUCUACCCAGUUGGCAGAAGUAUCCCAUGACUAUCCCAGGAUGAGAGGGACCCUGGAAAUUCAUAGACUCUGAGACUGAUUAGGAAGCUAGGGUUGUGGAUGUCAUUGUUAUAAGCCAAAAGGAGAAAUAACCGUAUCUUAUGCAAAUCUAUCUCUUCUCUAUAAAAUCAACUCUACAGAAAUGCAUAGGCAACUAUAAUUGAGACCCAGAAAGUUGAAGAAAUAUUUUAACGGAAG